AAAAGAUUUUAAGAAGUUUAUUUUUCAAAAAUCAUAGUAAUGUUUAAUUAUUUGAUAAUGACUAAAUGUGACAAGUGUAUGUAACUAAUGUUUCAUGGAAAUUACAAAGGAAGCUUGGAUUAUUAACUCUCUGGUUCACUGACAUUUUAUUGAAGCAGAUUUUUUUACGGUAAUUAUUUAAAAGCUUAUGUAGGUCAGUGUAAUUUUAAACGUAUUAGCUGAAAUCUGUUUCCGUAUAAUGUCAAUGUUUCUAAUAAGCUUUGCUUCAAUGAAUUGAAUAAAGCACUAAAGCAUUCAGGCUGAACUAGAUGGAAUUAUUGAUAUCUAAAAACAAUUAACAAUAACUAUUGUUGAGUAGAUUGUAACAGUAUAACUGAUUAUAGAACUGAGCAAAAUAAUGAUUUCCGAAUAUUUUUUUAAGUUUGAAGUUGCUUAAAAAAAAACCCAGCGCAGUGGUGACGAAGCAUAGUUGGAUCAAGUAUAAUGAUAUCUGACAGUGAUUAAAAUCACUAUAAAAAAAAAAAGGUUCAAUGCAAAUCCUUAGAUAGUGUUUAAUUUUAAAAAAAAUGGUAGAUUAUUCCAAAAUCUACAUGAUCUGCUAGUUCCUUAUUAAUAUCCUGAUUAAGAUAA